GAGGGUACAGCUCAGUGGUAGGGCACGUGCUUAGCAUGCACGAGGGCCUGGGUUCAAUUCCCGGUACCUCCA
rnacentral:tRNA from 1 species